CAUAGCGACUAUCGUGGCAUAUCAAUAAGCGGAGGAAAAGAAACUAACUAAGGAUUCCCUCAGUAACGGCGAGUGAAGCGGGAAGAGCUCAAAUUUGAAAUCUUCAAGGUUCUACCUUGACGAAUUGUAGUUUAUAGAAGUGUUUUCUGUUAGUAGAGUGGCAAAAGUUCUUUGGAAUAGGACAUCAUAGAGGGUGAGAAUCCCGUAUUUGGUCAUUCCUCCUAGCGUUGUGAUACACUUUCAACGAGUCGGAUUGUUUGGGAAUGCAGUCCAAAAUGGGUGGUAAAUUUCAUCUAAAGCUAAAUAUUGGCGAGAGACCGAUAGCGAACAAGUACCGUGAGGGAAAGAUGAAAAGAACUUUGAAAAGAGAGUUAAACAGUACGUGAAAUUGUCAAAAGGGAAGCGUUUGACACCAGUGUUGUUUUUCCGAAAAUCAAUUACGAAUGUUUUAUUUUUGAGGAGUUAUGACUUCAUCGGCUUGCUCCUUUCUUUAUGAAACUUUCUUAAUGCACUUUUCGGUUAACAAGUCAACAUCAAUUUCUUUUGUUGUAAAAGGGUAUGAGGAAGGUGGCUUUCUUUUCGGAGAAAGUGUUUAUAGCCUUGUACCUCUGCAAUCGGAGAGAUUGAGGUCUGCAGCGUAGAUCCUUCGGGGUUAGAUACAUUUGUGCUAAGUUAUAGCUUUUCAUAGACAACUUGUGGACUAUGUUAAGUCUUGUAGCUUACUCGCAUAUGCUAUUUUACCUACGCUUAGGAUGUUGACGAGACUGUCGAUCUC
rnacentral:rRNA from 1 species